rnacentral:rRNA from 1 species
UACGUAGGGGGCAAGCGUUGUCCGGAAUCAUUGGGCGUAAAGAGCGUGUAGGCGGCUCGAUAAGUCCGCUGUGAAAGUCCAGGGCUCAACCCUGGAAGGCCGGUGGAAACUGUCGGGCUAGAGUCCGGAAGAGGCGAGUGGAAUUCCCGGUGUAGCGGUGAAAUGCGCAGAUAUCGGGAGGAACACCAAUGGCGAAGGCAGCUCGCUGGGACGGUACUGACGCUGAGACGCGAAAGCCAGGGGAGCGAACGGG